rnacentral:rRNA from 1 species
UACAGAGGUCUCAAGCGUUGUUCGGAUUCAUUGGGCGUAAAGGGUGCGUAGGUGGCGCGGUAAGUCGGGUGUGAAAUUUCGGAGCUUAACUCCGAAACUGCAUUCGAUACUGCCGUGCUUGGGGACUGGAGAGGAGACUGGAAUUUACGGUGUAGCAGUGAAAUGCGUAGAGAUCGUAAGGAAGACCAGUGGCGAAGGCGGGUCUCUGGACAGUUCCUGACACUGAGGCACGAAGGCCAGGGGAGCAAACGGG